AGCGUAUAUUAAAGUUGUUGCAGUUAAAAAGCUCGUAGUUGAAUUUCGGGGUUAGUAGGUUGGUCAUGCCUCUGGUAUGUACUGGUCUCACUGAUUCCUCCUUCCUGAUGAACCUUAAUGCCAUUAAUUUGGUGUUUUGGGGAAUUUGGACUGUUACUUUGAAAAAAUUAGAGUGUUUAAAGCAAGCUAACGCUUGAAUACAUUAGCAUGGAAUAAUGAAAUAGGACGUUCGAUCCUAUUUUGUUGGUUUCUAGGAUUGACGUAAUGAUUAAUAGGGAUAGUUGGGGGCAUUAGUAUUCAAUUGUCAGAGGUGAAAUUCUUGGAUUUAUUGAAGACUAACUACUGCGAAAGCAUUUGCCUAGGAUGUUUUCAUUAAUCAAGAACGAAAGUUAGGGGAUCGAAGACGAUCAGAUACCGUCGUAGUCUUAACCAUAAAC
rnacentral:rRNA from 1 species